ACUAUUUUGACAGAUUAAUGUGCUGAAUUUAGAAUUCAUUUAUGUAGCUUUACUACAAAUAGUA
rnacentral:tRNA from 2 species